AAGUCGUAACAAGGUUUCCGUAGGUGAACCUGCGGAAGGAUCAUCAAUAAUAGACCGAAUUAUGAAAUUGGUCUGAUCUUUUAAAACCCAUUAUAUUUAUUACUUUGACCGGGUUUUAUAGAUUGAGAAGGGGGGGGGAGAUCCGUGUGAGGAUUCCUCUUUUUUUCUUUUUUUAUAAAAUUAAUGGUCUAUAAAAACCUUUUUAUAAAGCUCACUCUUUAUUUUUUUUUAUUAAGGCUUUAUUAUAAGCCAUUGAACAGGAUUAAUAGACCAGUUUUAGGUGUAAUGCCUCUGGUGUAAAAAAAAAAAUUAUUAAAACUUUCGGCAAUGGAUCUCUCGGCUCUCC
rnacentral:misc_RNA from 1 species